rnacentral:rRNA from 1 species
GACGAACGCUGGCGGCGUGCUUAACACAUGCCAGUCGAACGCUGAAGCUCAGCUUUUGUUGGGUGGAUGAGUGGCGAACGGGUGAGUAACACGUGAGUAACCUGCCCCCUUCUUUGGGAUAACGCCCGGAAACGGGUGCUAAUACUGGAUAUUCACUGGUCUUCGCAUGGGGGUUGGUGGAAAGGGCUUUUCUGGUGGGGGAUGGGCUCGCGGCCUAUCAGCUUGUUGGUGGGGUGAUGGCCUACCAAGGCGUUGACGGGUAGCCGGCCUGAGAGGGUGCCCGGGAGCGUGACGACUGAGAUUGGGCCCAGGCUCCUACGGGAGGCAGCAGUGGGGACAAUUGCACGAUGGGUGCAAGCCUGAUGCAGCGACGCAGCGUGAGGGAUGGAGGCCUGGGGGUUGUGAACCUCUUUCGCUCAUGGUCAAGCCGCAACAAUGGUUGUGGUGAGGGUAGUGGGUAAAGAAGCGCCGGCUAACUACGUG